CGGGGUGUAGCUCAGCUUGGUUAGAGUGCUUGCUUGGGGUGCAAGAGGUCGCUGGUUCAAAUCCAGUCACUCCGACCA
rnacentral:tRNA from 12 species